AAGUCCAUGAUAAUUCUCCCCCACACAAGCUGUCGAUGCCCUCGUCGACAUCCAAGCCACUACUUGAACAUUAGUCACCAUGACCAACUUUCAUUGCAGUCACUGUAAAUAUGAUUCCUCAAGUCAAAGACCCAUGGUCUUUGAUGUCCUUGAUCUUUUCUCCACCACUAAGAAUCCAUCAUCCACAUCACACUGACUCUUCCACA
rnacentral:lncRNA from 1 species